GAGAGAGACAUGCGCGCAUAUCAAUAAGCGGAGGAAAAGAAACUAACAAGGAUUCCCUUAGUAACGGCGAGUGAAGCGGGAAGAGCUCAAAUUUGAAAUCUUCAAGGUUUUACCUUGACGAAUUGUAGUUUAAAGAAGUGUUUUCUGCUGAAGUUUUGGUAAAAGUUCUUUGGAAUAGGACAUCAUAGAGGGUGAGAAUCCCGUAUUUGACCAUUAUUUUCAGCUUUGUGAUACACUUUCAAAGAGUCGGAUUGUUUGGGAAUGCAGUCCAAAAUGGGUGGUAAAUUUCAUCUAAAGCUAAAUAUUGGCGAGAGACCGAUAGCGAACAAGUACCGUGAGGGAAAGAUGAAAAGAACUUUGAAAAGAGAGUUAAACAGUACGUGAAAUUGUCAAAAGGGAAGCGUUUGACACCAGUGUUGUUUUCUCGAAAAUCAAUUAAAAAUGGCUCGAUUUUGUAUUGUUGAGACCUUAAAAGCUCACUGUACAUUUUUCGUGUCUUUUUUAAUGCACUUUUCGUUUAACAAGUCAACAUCAGUUUCUUUUGUUGUAAAAGGGUCAUUGGAAGGUGGCUUUCUUUUCGGAGAAAGUGUUUAUAGCCUUUGGCCUCUGCAAUCGGAGAGACUGAGGUCUGCAGCGUAGACUCUUCGGGGUUAGAUACAUUUGCUGCUAAGUUAUAGCUUUUUAUAGACAACUUGUUGACUAUAAUUAGUCUUGUAGCUUACUCGCUUAUGCUAUUUUACCUACGCUUAGGAUGUUGAAGAUGUAGCACAUCAU
rnacentral:rRNA from 1 species